CCUUCGAUAGCUCAGUUGGAAGAGCGCGAGACUGUAAUGGUUGCAUUGUCAUCUUGAGGUCGCUGGUUCGAUCCCGGCUCGAAGGA